GUGGAGAGUUUGAUCCUGGCUCAGAUUGAACGCUGGCGGCAGGCCUAACACAUGCAAGUCGAGCGCUUCCCUUCGGGGAGGAGCGGCGGACGGGUGAGUAACGCGUGGGAACGUACCCUUUUCUGCGGAAUAGCCACUGGAAACGGUGAGUAAUACCGCAUACGCCCUUCGGGGGAAAGAUUUAUCGGGGAAGGAUCGGCCCGCGUUGGAUUAGGUAGUUGGUGGGGUAAUGGCCUACCAAGCCGACGAUCCAUAGCUGGUUUGAGAGGAUGAUCAGCCACACUGGGACUGAGACACGGCCCAGACUCCUACGGGAGGCAGCAGUGGGGAAUCUUAGACAAUGGGCGCAAGCCUGAUCUAGCCAUGCCGCGUGAGUGAUGAAGGCCUUAGGGUCGUAAAGCUCUUUCACCAGGGAUGAUAAUGACAGUACCUGGAAAAGAAACCCCGGCUAACUCCGUGCCAGCAGCCGCGGUAAUACGGAGGGGGCUAGCGUUGUUCGGAAUUACUGGGCGUAAAGCG
rnacentral:rRNA from 1 species